CUCGUAGGCGGCUUGGCAAGUCGAUCGUGAAAGCCCGGGGCUUAACCCCGGGACGCCGGUCGAUACUGCCAUGGCUUGGGUCCGGUAGAGGAGAAUGGAAUUCCCGGUGUAGCGGUGAAAUGCGCAGAUAUCGGGAGGAACACCAGUAGCGAAGGCGGUUCUCUGGGCCGGUACCGACGCUGAGGUACGAAAGCAUGGGGAGCAAACAGGAUUAGAUACCCUGGUAGUCC
rnacentral:rRNA from 1 species